rnacentral:tRNA from 1 species
GGCGGGGCUCGGCCGGCGGGCAUAGGCCCCGCGGCCCGGACCCGCGGGUCACGGUGGUGCGGAUCGCCGCCCGAUCAUAGCCCGCCGCCACCGCC